UCCCUGGUGGUCUAGUGGCUAAGACUCCAUGCUCCCAAUGCAGGGGGCCCAAGUUCAAUCCCUGGUCAGGGAA
rnacentral:tRNA from 1 species